GUGCAUUCUGACGAAGACAACAAAAGGUAAUCAAACUUUUAUAAUAGUAAAUCUGAUUUUGGUGAAGGCUAAACUUGCCAGGUGUCUAAAUAGCUAGCCCGUGAUGGCUGGGCUAUGUACUUAGAAUAUUGCAAAAUGUGCUUUCACCAAAAAGCUAUUUUAAAAUCGGACAUAUCGAGUGCAUAGAGGAGUUCUGUAUCUAUAAUUUUUAAAAUAAUUGUUAUGCUUUUUGUGAACGUUUAUCGUGAGUAAUUUAGUAAAUUGUUAGUAAAUUCCCCGGAAGUUUGCGGGGGGUAUGCUAGUUCUGAACGUCACAUGCUAAUGUAAAAAGCUGUUUUUUGAUAUAAAUAUGAACUUGAUUGAACAAAACAUGCAUGUAUUGUAUAACAUAAUGUCCUAGGAUUGUCAUCUGAUGAAGAUCAUCAAAGGUUAGUGCUGCAUUUAGCUGUCUUCUGGGUUUUUGUGACAUUAUAUGCUAGCUUGAAAAAUGGGUGUCUGAUUAUUUCUGGCUGGGUACUCUGCUGACAUAAUCUAAUGUUUUGCUUUCAUUCUAAAGCCUUUUUGAAAUCGGACAGUGUGGUUAGUGCUGCAUUUAGCUGUCUUCUGGGUUUUUGUGACAUUAUAUGCUAGCUUGAAAAAUGGGUGUCUGAUUAUUUCUGGCUUGGUACUCUGCUGACAUAAUCUAAUGUUUUGCUUUCGCUGUAAGCCUUUUUGAAAUCGGACAGUGUGGUUAGAUAAAGGAGAGUCUUGUCUUUAAAAUGCUGUGAAAUAGUCAUAUGUUUGAAAAUUUUAAGUUUUUGUAUUUUUGAGGAAUUUGUCAUUCGCGCCACGCCUAUCAUUGGAUAUUGGAGCAGGUGUUCCGCUAGCGGAACGUCUAGAUGUAAGAGGUUAAUGAAGUGGCGGUAGAAGUUGGCAAACCACAGAAACAUUUGAAGGCCCUUUAUGGUGGUUGGGACUGGCCAUGACCUGACUGCUUCGACCUUCCUUUUAUCCAUACUCACCUCCUGCAGGCUGAUUCGGUAUCCCAAGAAGGAGACAUCGACCUGAUGGAACUGGCACUUUAACAUAAAAGCGGUUAUCCAGGAGGCGUCUCAGGACUAUUCGGACGUGAGCGAUGUGAACCUCCAAGGUGGCUGAGUAGACCAGGAUAUUGUUGAUAUGAAUGACCACCUGGAGCCCGAUCAUGUCCCAGAUCACCUCAUUCACGAAUGUCUGAAACACUGACGAUGCAUUGGCUAGUCAAUAAGGCAUCACCAAGUAUUCGUAGUGCCCAGACAUCGUGCUGAUGGCCCUUUAACACUCAUCCCCUUCUCAGAUGCGGAUAAGAUUGUAGGCUCUCCGCAGGUCCAGUUUCGUAAAAAAACGGGCCCUCCAGAACUGUUCGAUGGCGACCAGUACCAACGGGAAACGGUAGCGGUACUUAGUGGUGAUAGA
rnacentral:lncRNA from 1 species